GACGAACGCUGGCGGCGUGCCUAACACAUGCAAGUUGAGCGCUGAAGGCUGGUACUUUUACCCACUGGAUGGGCAGCGGACGGGUGAGUAACGCGUGGGGGAUCUGCCUUUGAGCGGGGGAUAACAUUUGGAAACGAAUUCUAAUACCGCAUAAAAACUUUAAACACGAGGUUUAAGCUUGAAAGAUGCAAUUGCAUCACUUAAAGAUGAUCCCGCGUUGUGUUAGCUAGCUGGUGAGGGAAAGACUUACCCAGGGGAUGAUACAUAGCAGCCCUGAGAGGGUGCUCGGCCACACUGGGCUUGGGACACGGCCCAACCCCCUACGGGAGGCAGCCGGAGGGGACCUUCGGCAAUGGCAGCAGGUCUGACUGUGCGACGACGCGUGAGUGAAGAAGGUUUUCAGGUCGUAAAACUCUGUAAGUAGAGAGGAUCGUAAAGCGGUGUUGACCGCGCAGCAAGUGACGGUACCUGCACAAUAAGCGACGGCUAACUACGUG
rnacentral:rRNA from 1 species